rnacentral:rRNA from 1 species
GAUGAACGCUGGCGGCGUGCCUAAUACAUGCAAGUCGAGCGAACAGACGAGGAGCUUGCUCCUCUGACGUUAGCGGCGGACGGGUGAGUAACACGUGGAUAACCUACCUAUAAGACUGGGAUAACUUCGGGAAACCGGAGCUAAUACCGGAUAACAUGUUGAACCGCAUGGUUCAACAGUGAAAGACGGUCUUGCUGUCACUUAUAGAUGGAUCCGCGCCGCAUUAGCUAGUUGGUAAGGUAACGGCUUACCAAGGCAACGAUGCGUAGCCGACCUGAGAGGGUGAUCGGCCACACUGGAACUGAGACACGGUCCAGACUCCUACGGGAGGCAGCAGUAGGGAAUCUUCCGCAAUGGGCGAAAGCCUGACGGAGCAACGCCGCGUGAGUGAAGAAGGUCUUAGGAUCGUAAAACUCUGUUAUUAGGGAAGAACAAAUGUGUAAGUAACUAUGCACGUCUUGACGGUACCUAAUCAGAAAGCCACGGCUAACUCCGUG